GACGAACGCUGGCGGCGUGCUUAACACAUGCAAGUCGAACGUGAUUUUUGUGGAAGUUCCUUCGGGAAUGGAAGUAAAAUGAAAGUGGCGAACGGGUGAGUAACACGUGAGCAACCUACCUUACACAGGGGGAUAGCCGUUGGAAACGACGAUUAAUACCGCAUGAGACCACAGUACCACAUGGUAUAGGGGUAAAAGAUUUAUCGGUGUAAGAUGGGCUCGCGUCUGAUUAGCUAGUUGGAAGGGUAAAGGCCUACCAAGGCAACGAUCAGUAGCCGGUCUGAGAGGAUGAACGGCCACAUUGGAACUGAGACACGGUCCAAACUCCUACGGGAGGCAGCAGUGGGGAAUAUUGUACAAUGGGGGGAACCCUGAUGCAGCGACGCCGCGUGAGCGAAGAAGGUUUUCGAAUCGUAAAGCUCUGUCCUAUGAGAAGAUAA
rnacentral:rRNA from 1 species